CUUUGUUCCCUUAGUAUAUAGUGAUGCAUUCGUUCUGAUUUUGGAUAUAGUAAAUGAUAUUUUGGGCUGAGAACUACUGUUUUUAUUAAUGCCUGAGGGGCUUAUAUGAUUUCUAGACUGAGUACGACCAAGGGUCAGAUGUGAGGAUACUAUGGGAUCGGGCUGCGUGCCGUAGCAAUGUUAUACUGAUAUUGAUAUGAGGCCAAGGGCCUAGAUUUGAUGCCACAAGAUGGCUUGAUAUUGCGCUUGGGCCGUAAGGGGCCCCUCCCGGAGUCUGCACACCCCCAGUGAGCGCCAUCGACGAGAUAUAUGGAUCGGGCUGCACACUGCAGCGGUGCUGGUAUUGUUCUAUGUGUUUACUUUAUUUCAUUUGUCUGCCAUUAUCUGUUGUUUGUGCUAUUUCAUCUGAUAUCUAUCUGAUUGCCUGGCAUUAUCUGUUAAUUGAGUGUUGUGCCUGAGGGGCAGAUUUCCAUGCUUAUCUGCACUAUUUGUUUUGCACUCAUUUGCGUAACCGUUGAAAAAGUCAUUUUUAAAAGAGGUUUAAACUGAGCUAAGAUGUUUUUCCAAGGAUUUCACAAUUUCACUGCUUUUACUCGAAGGGUUUUAGACUGCUCAGUUAUUAUUUACCUUUAUUACUCACUAAGUUGGAGUACUCACUUUACUCCCCGCACCUCGUGUGCAGAUGCAGGUAUUUGUUCACCCGGUAGCAGGUUUUCAGCUGGUCAGAGGCUAAGUUAUCGGAGUUUAGUGAGGUGACUGCCAGUGUUCGCAGCACCGCAUUUCUUCCUUUUGUUUAUCAGUCUUAUUUUGUAUGUUUCAGGCCUUGCAAUUGUAUUUAUACUCUAAUAGAUGCUCGUGACACCCCGGUUUGGGUUGUGUUUGGGUUGUAUUCCGCACUUAAUAAAGAAAACUUUUGUUUAGACUGUGGCUAUUUAAUUAUGCUAAAACUGUUUAUUAAUAUUAACUAUUCUGAAAAGGCGAAAUGGGUUGGUUGGCUGGCCUUGUCUUCACGAGAGGCGCCAUGACGACCGGAUCGGGGUCUGGGUUGUGACAAGAGGAUUCAAUAAAAACAAAUCUUUCGGAAGAUGGAGUGAUGAAGACAGUUCAAAACAUGAAGAAAUAGCAAUUAUGUGCUUCAUGACCAUUCUGGAAAAUGACAUGAACAAAUAUUCGGGCUGCUGGACCGAUGAAGAUUCAUCAAACGAUGAAUGCAAAGAAGAUACUACAAAUUGUUUCAUGGCACGAGGUGAAACAAGCGAGGUAAGAUCUUAUAAUUGUGAUAGAUGUAACUAAGGCUGUAUUUUGGGCGGGGCCCGGGCCUAAAUGGGCUAAACGAGCUGGGCCAAACGGUCCCGGGCUUUGACGGGCUGAGCUUUGGCGGUCCCGGGCCAAAUGGUCCCUAAACUAACAGUCCAAAUGUGUGGAACCGGCCCACUGUGGGCCUAAGCCCACAUGGUCCCGGGCUAAAUGGGUCGGGUCCAUGGCCUAAACGGGUUUUUCUGUUCCGGGCUAUUUUUUUUAUCUAAGGCAAUUUCUUGUAAACUAUAUAUGUAUAUACUAAUAUAAAUUGCUUAUAUAUAGCUAUAUAGCUAUAUAUAGUAUAUAUAGUAUGUAUAUAUAAUUAUAUAUUGCUUUAUAUAAUAUAUAUAUAUAAGCGAAAUAGCCCCGUAACUUCGGGAGAAGGGGUGCUUCCUCACAAAGGGGGUCGCAGUGACCAGGCCCGGGCGACUAUUUACCAAAAACAUAGGUCUCUGUAAAGUCGUAAGACCAUGUAUGGGGGCUGACGCCUGCCGAGUGCCGGAAAGUCAAGGAAGUUGGUGACCUGAUGAUAGGGGAGCUGGUGACCGAAGCCUCGGUGAACGGCAGCUGUAACUAUAACGGUCCUAAGGUAGCGAAAUUCCUUGUCGGGUAAGUUUCGACCCGCACAAAAGGCGUAACGAUCUGGGCACUGUCUCGGAGAGAGGCUCGGUGAAAUAGACAUGUCUGUGAAGAUGUGGACUACCUGCACCUGGACAGAAAGACCCUAUGAAGCUUCACUAUUCCCUAGGAUUGGCUUUGGACCUUUCCUGCGCAACUUAGGUGGAAGGCGAAGAAGGCCUCCUUCCGGGGGGCCCCGAGCCAUCAGUGAGAUACCACUCUGGAAGGGCUAGAAUUCUAACCUUGUGUUAGGACCUACGAGCCAAGGGACAGUCUCAGGUAGACAGUUUCUAUGGGGCAUAGGCCUCCUAAAAGGUAACGGAGGCCUGCAAAGGUUUCCUUGGGCCGGACGGAGAUUAGCCCUCGAGUGCAAAGGCAGAAGGGAGCUUGACUGCAAGACCCACCCGUCGAGUAGGGACGAAAUUUGGCCAUAGUGAUCCGACGGUGCCGAGUGGAAGGGCCAUAGCUCAACGGAUAAAAGUUACUCUAGGGAUAACAGGCUGAUCUUCCCCAAGAUCUCACAUCAACGGGAAGGUUUGGUACCUCGAUGUCGGCUCUUCGCCACCUGGGGCUGUAGUAUGUUCCAAGGGUUGGGUUGUUUGCCCAUUAAAGCGGUACGUGAUCUGGGUUAAGAAUGUCAUGAGACAGUUCGGUCCAUAUCCGGUAUGGGCGUUAGAGCAUUGAGAGGACCUUUUUCUAGUAUGAGAGGACCGGGAAGGAUGCACCUCUGGUGUACCAGUUAUCGUGCCCACGGUAAAUGUUGGGUAGCCAGGUGCGGGGCGGAUAACUGCUGAAAGCAUCUAAGUAGUAAGCCCACCCCAAUAUGAGUGCUCUCCUAUUCCGACUUCCCCAGAGCCUCUGGUAGCACAGCCGAGACAUCGACGGGUUCUCUGCCCCUACGGGGAUGGAGCGACAGAAGUUUUUUUGAGAAUUCAAGAGAAGGUCACGGCGAGACUAGCCGUUUAUCAUUACGAUAGGUGUCAAGUGGAUGUGCAGUGAUGUAUGCAGCUGAGGCAUCCUAACUGACUGGUAGACUUGAAC
rnacentral:rRNA from 1 species